CCCUAUGGGGUGCCGCAGGUGGAGGUGGGGAAUCUCACGGCGCCGAAUGGAAGGAUUUGAUGUGGAGGACCUUGAACUUUACCGUGCUGGUGGGUUUUCUCUGGUGGCUUCUGGCCGCGAAGAUCCGUGAUUUCUUCGCUGGUCGCAGAGCGGACAUUAAAUCAACGGCGGAAGCAGCAGAAGCAGCUAAAGCGGAUGCCAAGAAAAAGAACGAUGAAUACGAUAAUAAACUGACGAAGGCUACAGACGAGAUAGCAGGUAUAGCAGAAAGCAUCAAGACUCAGGGACUGGCCGAAAAAGAAAGAAUCAUAGAAGAUGCCAAAAGGGCCGCUAUAAAAAUCAAAGAGGAUGCACAGGCCAGAAUGGAGCAGGAAUUUAAAAAAGCGAGCAAUGAAUUGGCGGGAGGGC
rnacentral:rRNA from 1 species